UGGAUCUAUCUGUUCUCCACUGUAUCUCAUCCUGUAAAAACCCUAAAUUCAAUCCAUUAUGGUUGCUUCUUCAACAAGUAUGAAGAUGUUGAUCUCGUUUCUCUUUCUAUGCUGCCUCUCCACCUGUUUCUCCUCUCCUGUUUCCAUUUCAGAUGGUGUCUUCACAUCUGAACCUUCAAUCGGACGGAAUCUUCUUCAGGCUAAGAAAU
rnacentral:lncRNA from 1 species